GGGCCAAGUGAGUUUUUCUCAUCACCCGGCGUCCGUCGUCGUCCGUCGUCCGUCGUCCUGCGUCCGUCGUCGUUAACUUUUACAAAAAUCUUCUCCUCUGAAACUGCUGGGCCAAAUUUAACCAAACAUGGCCAAAAUCAUUAUUAGGGUAUCUAGUUUAAAAAUUGUGUCCGAUGACCCGCCCAACCAACCAAGAUGGCCGCCAUGGCUAAACAUAGAACAUAGGGGUAAAAUGCAGUUUUUGGCUUAUAACUCAAAAACCAAAGCAUUUAGAGCAAAUCUGACAUGGGGUGAAAUUGUUAAUCAGGUCAAGAUCUAUCUGCCCUGAAAUUUCAGAUGAAUCGGAC
rnacentral:lncRNA from 1 species